GGCCCGCACAAGCGGAGGAGCAUGUGGUUUAAUUCGAUGAUACGCGAGGAACCUUACCCGGGCUCGAACGUAUGAUGAAUAAUAUGGAAACAUGUUAGUCGAUAAGACAUUAUACGAGGUGCUGCAUGGUUGUCGUCAGCUCGUGCCGUGAGGUGUCAGGUUAAGUCCUAUAACGAGCGCAACCCUUACUGUUAGUUACCAUCAGGUUAUGCUGGGGACUCUAGCGGAACUGCCUACGCAAGUAGAGAGGAAGGUGGGGAUGACGUCAAAUCAGCACGGCCCUUAUGUCCGGGGCGACACACGUGCUACAAUGGUCAAUACAGAGGGCUGCUACACAGCAAUGUGAUGCUAAUCUCAAAAAUUGAUCUCAGUUCGGAUCGGAGUCUGAAACUCGACUCCGUGAAGUUGGAUUUCGCUAGUAAUCGCACAUCAGCCAUGGUG
rnacentral:rRNA from 1 species